CAGGUAAAUCGUUAACUCUCGGCGGCACAUUUUACAAUGGUUUGCCCUCUUACUUGGAACUGCCGGGUCUCCAAUGAAGCAUAAUCAAAGACAUCCAGCUACCGUAAAGCUGCAGAAACAGGAUGCCAAUUUUGCCACUCAUUCACAGAUUAAGAGCAUCAACUGACAAUUUCUGUUCAAGAAAAUUUGUACAAAAUUGACAUUUGUCACCCCAUAACCCUAGCUCUGGACUGGCUGACAACACCCCAAUGAUGCUGCUGAAGGUGGAGGCACACCUCUGGCCAUGGCAUACUUGGUUUGUGCAACACUUUAAA